UGAGUCUGCACACUUUAGAAUGUCUCAACAAGACUGUUAUGAUCAAAGACAGCCCCCCCAUUCAAGCAAAAUCUUGGAAGGCUGUAUAACAAGGCUGCAGUCCUGCAUACCUGGUGUGACGAAGAAAUAGGCUGGCUCAGGAAUAAAAGCACAGCUAAGAUGUUCCAUACACAAGCAACUGACCAACCCAACAGCAACCUCUACUUGCUUUCCUUUCCUUUAUAAGGACUUACAGGAUGCUGGUGCCAACCAGAAGGAGGAGGUUUGGAAUCUUAGCAGGUAGCUUUGCCACAUGGAAGAGUUCAACUGUGCAAGAUUUUGGGGGGUUGAAAAACCACUAAAAGUGGAUGUCCAUCUCCUGUACAGCAAGACGUAAAGACUUAAAAAACCCUGUAUGAUGCAAUUGAUCAUUCCCAGCGUGAGAUGUCCACCAGUAGCAUUCCAGCUGUUCCUCCUCAUUUGUUGUAGGCCUCUAGUAAACCAUAAUGACUGACUGGAAUGAAAUCUGUGGAUAAUAAAAUAUCCUUGCCUUGAUUCAUCAGUUGAUCCAAAGAUAAGAUUUGAUUUUAGAGAUUCAACUGCUC